CCCGUGUGUGUUUGGUAUGUUAAGAUUCUUGGAAGCAGAGGAACCACAACUUCACUCCCAUAGCUGAAACACAAGACUGGAAAGGCAAAAUGGCGGCGGCAGUCAUGGACAAAGAUUUUAAACUGGUCACCCCUGAUCAUGUUGUGAAGGCUUCUCUUGGUGGUGAUGUCACUCUGCCCUGUCACCUCUCUCCUGAAACCAGUGCUGUUGCCAUGGAGAUCAGGUGGUUUGAGGGGACAGACUGUAUCUACCUGUAUAAGAAUGGUCAUGUGACAGUAAGGGAGGGACUAUGAGGGCAGAGUGAGUGUGAACACCCAGGAGCUGCAGAGAGGAGACGUGUCUCUGAGACUGA